AUCCUGGCUCAGGACGAACNCUGGUGGCGUGCUUUAACACAUGCAAGUCGAACGGUGAAGCCCAGCUUGCUGGGUGGAUCAGUGGCGAACGGGUGAGUAACACGUGAGCAACCUGCCCUCCACUUCGGGAUAAGCCUUGGAAAACGAGGUCUAAUACCGGAUAUGAGCGCCUGCCGCAUGGUGGGUGUUGGAAAGUUUUUCGGUGGGGGAUGGGCUCGCGGCCUAUCAGCUUGUUGGUGGGGUAAUGGCCUACCAAGGCGUCGACGGGUAGCCGGCCUGAGAGGGCGACCGGCCACACUGGGACUGAGACACGGCCCAGACUCCUACGGGAGGCAGCAGUGGGGAAUAUUGCACAAUGGGCGAAAGCCUGAUGCAGCGACGCCACGUGAGGGAUGACGGCCUUCGGGUUGUAAACCUCUUUCAGCAGGGAAGAAGCGCAAGUGACGGUACCUGCAGAAGAAGCGCCGGCUAACUACGUGCCAGCAGCCGCGGUAAUACGUAGGGCGCAAGCGUUGUCCGGAAUUAUUGGGCGUAAAGAGCUCGUAGGCGGUCUGUCGCGUCUGGUGUGAAAUCUCAUGGCUCAACUGUGAGCUUGCAUCGGGUACGGGCAGACUAGAGUGCUGUAGGGGAGACUGGAAUUCCUGGUGUNAGCGGUGGAAUGCGCAGAUAUUAGUUUGNAGGAACAGCGAUNNUANAGUCGAAGGCAGGUNCUCUGGGCAGUUACUGACGCUGAGGAGCGAAAGCAUGGGGAGCGAACAGGAUUAGAUAGUCUGGUAGUCCAUGCCGUAAACGUUGGGCACUAAGCGUGNUGGGGCCAGUUCCACUGGUUCUGUGCCGUAGCUAACGCAUUAAGUGCCCCGCCCUGGGNNNNGAGUACGGCCGCAAGGCUAAAACCCAAAGGAAUUGACGGGGACCUGCNCAANCGGCGGA
rnacentral:rRNA from 1 species